AAGGAGAGGAAGCAGAAAAACACAUAAAUUCUCUCGAGGGAGUCAGACAGCCUGAAGCCACGGUCGACAGCUGCAAACGUUACCAUGAGCACAAAAGCAAAACAAGUGUCAGCAGUUCACGUUUUGGCACCAGAUGGAGGCUUUCUUUUGGUGAAAUGCCACCGUGUCAUUCAGCCGAGCUUUGAGCCUUUGAAUGUUCGCGCAGCAUGGCCUGAUGCUGGAUGUGUAGGUCCACGACCGGGAUCGGACCCCGUGAACCCCAGGCCACGAAAAUGGAGCGCAAAGUCAACCACUACACCAUCAGGCCUGCCCCUCAAAAAGUUUUAAAGAACGUUGAGCUUUAAAAUGUUUCGAAGCCCCGAGGCUGGGAUUUUUAGGGAGCAGAUCCAGAGAGCUGGACUGCCUCCUCUGCAGUCUGGACCGUCUGCGUCUUUACAGAGCACCUCCCACCGUGAAGCACAAGGCCCCUCCCUGCUCACUGGAAUGAAAUGAUCGUCCUAAGAGGUCAACUUGCUUAAUUAUAUUUAAUUCCCCCAACUUUCUCCUGUGGCAGGAGGUAAAAUGCCACUGGAUAUGGCUUUUCUCUUGAAAGUACGUGGAAGAGCUGUGUUGGAGGGUCAGAAUAAGUGGUGUGUCUAUCCCUAGUUAGAGGAGGUCGCCUUUCAGUUGUGGUGGACUGAGGCCAUCGGCCACCAGAACAAGCCAUCUCUUGCUUUACUGUAGAACCAGCUGUAACAUCUAGAACGUGUUGCUCCUCUUUUCCUAAGGACUCAGAAUAUACCCACGAAGUUACUUCAAAUAGAGUCUAUUGUAAUCGUCAAAUAAGCCGAAUGUCGCUAAAUAUACCCGCUGUUAUUUUAGUCUUUAUUUGUAUAUGAUGAUUUAAUUUUCAUUGACUUGGAUGUGCUGUAGUGUAAAGCGCUCUGACUUCCCACCGCGGGUGGAGAGGGAACGACGAUGCUGAAGCGCACAGAGCCGUCACCGGGGGCGGGUUGACUCGAAGCAUGCAGGCAGACAUACGGGCCUCAUGUGUGCCCACCAUCCAAGGGAGAGGAGAAGCCGAGAGAGGAAGCCUGCACUGGAAGAAGGAAAGAGACAACGAGACAGAGAGAGGCCCACGCAGUCUGUGUGGAGAAAGGAGAUUUGAUCAGAGAAAUCACAAAGCAGGAUCCAGACGCCCUGACAGCUACUGGGCAGUUACUGAGACUCAUUCUUAUCAACUGAGGUGGAGCACAAAAUUAAGCAAUACUAAGGCGAGGCCAAUUCUAGGAUAGAUAUAUGAAAUGACAGAAAACUAUUUGUUUUACCUUUUUUUCCUCCCUGUGUGUGAUGCAUUUAUUUAUAUUUGAAAUGGAACGCAGUAAUUUAUCUUAUCUUUAUUCUACACCUGAAGUCAUCCUCUUCCUCCUCAAAUUAGCAUCUCCUCCUGAAUUUUCUCUCUCAUUUGGGGCUCCUUUGGAGCGAGGCCCUCCAACUUGAACCCCUGAAAAUCUAAGAUAGCUACGAUCCUGCUCACUCCGUAACAAGGCUCCCUAAUUGUUUUUUCGUGAAGAAACAACACUGAUGUUCCAGUCAAGACAUAACAUUGCCCCGGGAAGCAAUUAUUAUUAUUUUUUUAAUAUCAGCUUUAUUAAGAUAUAUAUAUAGGGGCCGGCCCCAUGGCCGAGUGGUUAAGUUCGUGUGCUCUGCUUGGGCAGCCCAGGGUUUCACUGUUCACUGGUUUGGAUUCUGGGCACGGACAUGGCACCACUCAUCAGGCCAUACUGAGGUGGCGUCCCACAUGCCACAACUAGAAGGACACACAACUAAAAAUAUACAACUAUGUGCUGGCAGGUUUUGGGGAGAAAAUGUAAAAAUAAAAUAAAUUAAAAAAUAUAUAUAUAUAUAUACAUGUAUCUUAUAAUAUAUAUAUGUAUCAUAAAAUUCACCAUUCUUUAAAGUGUACAAUUUAGGAGUAUUUAGUAUAUCCACAGAAUUGUGCGACCAUCAUCAACAUCUCAUUGUAGAACAUCUUUAUUACCCCCCAAAAAACCCUGUACCCUUUGGUGGUCACUCCACAAUCCCUCCAUCCCCACCCCUGGCAACAGCUAAUCCACUUUUUCCCUCUAUGGAUUUGCAUAUUCUGGAUAUUUCCUAUAAAUGCAGUCACACACGUGGACUUUUUGUUUGGCUUCUUUCACUUAGCAUAAUGUUUUUGAGAUUCAACCGUGUUGUAGCAUGUAUUAGUAUUUCAUUCCUUUUUAUGGCUGAAUAAUAUUUCAUUCUGUACACCAAGUUUUGUGUACCCAUUCAUCAGUUGAUGGACAUUUCAAUUGCUUUUACUUCUUGGCUAUUGUGACUAAUGCUGCUGUGGACACUUAUUCACAAGUUUUUGUGUGGACAUGUGUUUUCAGUUCUCUUGGGUAUAUACCCAGGAAUAGAAUUAUUGGGUUACGUGACAACUCUACAUUGAACAUUUUGAGAAACUUCCAAACUGUUUUCCAAAGUGUCUGCACCAAUUUACAACUAAUGAAUGAGGGUUCCAAUUUCUCCACAUCCUCAUCAACAUUUGUUAUUACCUGUCUUUUUUAUUUUAG
rnacentral:lncRNA from 1 species